UACGUAGGGUGCGAGCGUUAAUCGGAAUUACUGGGCGUAAAGCGUGCGCAGGCGGUUUUUUAAGACAGGCGUGAAAUCCCCGGGCUCAACCUGGGCACUGCGCUUGUGACUGGAAGGCUAGAGUACGGCAGAGGGGGGUGGAAUUCCACGUGUAGCAGUGAAAUGCGUAGAGAUGUGGAGGAACACCAAUGGCGAAGGCAGCCCCCUGGGUCGAUACUGACGCUCAUGCACGAAAGCGUGGGGAGCAAACAGG
rnacentral:rRNA from 1 species